rnacentral:rRNA from 1 species
UACGUAGGGGGCUAGCGUUGUCCGGAUUUAUUGGGCGUAAAGAGCGCGUAGGCGGCCGAGUAAGUCCGACGUGAAAUCUGGAGGCUCAACCUCCAGCGGUCGUUGGAAACUACUCGGCUAGAGACCGGAAGAGGAGAGUGGAAUUCCUGGUGUAGCGGUGAAAUGCGCAGAUAUCAGGAAGAACACCGAUGGCGAAAGCAGCUCUCUGGGACGGUACUGACGCUGAGACGCGAAAGCGUGGGGAGCGAACAGG